CAUAGAGAUCAUUCCCAGUAUGAGAUUUAUUCCCCUGCAGUCCAUACAUCCCCGGCCCGUGCACCUUCUCAUCCUCCCCUUCAGAUAACACUUAUCUUCUCUGUGAGGUCCUUCUCCUGUGCAGACCUGCUUCCUUAGAAUACAGAGCAGGGGGGAGGGGGAAGUGAGGAGCUGUGUACUCAGCUGGAUGAGGGGGCGUGGAUUAUUCCUCUCAUGCACAAAGAAAAAAAAAGCUGUGACAUCUUGUCCCCAAUAGACUCAGGACUGUGGACAACAGUAAAAGAAAACCUUCUGAACUACAGAACUUCCUGCCCAACGAACAGAUGGUGCACCAAGACUUCAAUCUGGAAACCUUUUAGUGAUUUUAAGACAUAUACCAUUAUCAGAUGUCUUAUUCCUGCCUGUGUCCAAUAGUCGGAAUAAAAAUAACAUGCCAGUGGAGGAAUGAGGAAUGGUCAUGUGGCCUGAUGAGACAAAAAUGGAUCUUUUUGGUCUAAACUCUACUCGCCGUGUUUGGAGGAAGAAAAAGGAUGAGUACAAACCCAAGAACACCUUUACACGACUAAAGCAUGGAGGUGGGAACAGACCCGAAACCUGAAGGAUCUGGAGAAGAUUACGUCUCUCGCAGUUGAAGAUUACCUAUGAUAAAAAUUACAGACCUCUACAUGCUUUGUAAAUUGGAAAACCUGCAAAAUCGGCAGUGUAUCAAAUUUAAUAUCAAAUGGGCCUCCAUCCAUUGGGAGAAUGCUGGCCUCAUAUCUCCUUUUUAUAUUAUUGGCUGAUUUGGCAUAUCUGGCAAAAUCCAGAUGGGUCAGUACAUCUUUGGACCACUCUUCUCUGUCCUUCCCUGAACCUCAGAUGCUUCUCCAUAGGAUAACUAAAGAAACUACCGGAACUCUACUGCUUGAAGUAGUUAUGCAAACAAUUAUAUAUGCCUUUUUUAAAGUGUUAGAGACACUGACAUAUGUAGAACAUUUUCAGAUUUGCUACUAAAAAAAUCGCAAAGCUACACAUCCAGUUUAACUAUGUUGUGUUACAAUAUCUGGCCUUCUGCAGUUCCUUGCUGGCUUGGAAUAGGACUUAGUGCAGUAAUUUAUUGCGAGAGUACUAUGGCCUUCUAAACAAAAAUUGUUAGAAUAUUACUUGCUACAUGUUGCUUCUUGGAAGUGUUUGCUGAAUUACAGAAAUCGUUUUUUCCUCUGUUACAUUAACCACUUCUGUGGAUUAAAGCAUCCUGGCAGUCAUCAAUCAGUUCUGCAACAACAAUUUUAAAUGUGCAUGUCGAGUUUGCAGUGGCCAGAGACCAUGGUGUGGAAAGCCAGCUGCCAUCAACAACCAAUCUCUCCAGACAGAAAGCAGGGAUGGACUAUUACCAUGCUAUGAACGCUGUGUAUACAGCAGAGCCAUAAGGCUUUCUGUUUCAGUGAACAUUGGGUGCCAGGUAGCUGCAAUGGGCUGUUGUGUCUUAUCAAACCCAGAUCGGGUCUCCAAUGAGUGUCAGGGGCUGUAUUUACAGCGUUUGCUGGCAUACACAGCAAAAUUUUUAUGUGUUACAUACAAAUUAUGCUACAGAUGCAAUGCAAAUUUUACCUUCAUCACAUGUGAUAAAACCCUUUACAAAUCCUCAACAAAAUGAGCAUGGUGUGGCUGAAAAUCUGGGGGUAACAUUCACUGCCAUUCUGAACUGGGUAGAUUCACCCAAAGGAUGUUCAAACUUGGUGAAAUUGCCAUAAAUUGGCAGUGUAGUACCCAGGGCAAAUUGGUUCUGCUUUCAUCUGCUACAGUCUGCAGUACCAUUAAAGGAAAUCUUUCAUUAGUGUCACCUGCACUUACCUGUCGGUAUAGACAGGUAGUGCAGGUGACACGGACUACAACGAUACUUACCUGGUCCUGUUCUGUGCUCUGCUUCUUUUGCUAUAAUUUUUAGUAUCUUUCACUCCGGGCCUACUUGGAUCAUGGGUGUAGCUUCACUGCUGCUG